GAUGAAGAACGCAGUGAAAUGCGAUAAGUAAUGUGAAUUGCAGAAUUCAGUGAAUCAUCGAAUCUUUGAACGCACAUUGCGCCCCUUGGUAUUCCGAGGGGCAUGCCUGUUCGAGCGUCAUUAUAACCCCUCAAGCUCAGCUUGGUGUUGGGGCCUGCUGCACUGGCAGCCCUUAAAAUCAGUGGCGGCGCCGUCUGGCUCUAAGCGUAGUAAUUCUUCUCGCUAUGGAGUCCUGGUGGAUGCUUGCCAUCAACCCCCAAUUUUUCUAUGGUUGACCUCGGAUCAGGUAGGGAUACCCGCUGAACUUAAGCAUAUCAAUAAGCGGAGGA
rnacentral:misc_RNA from 1 species